rnacentral:rRNA from 1 species
UACAGAGGGUGCGAGCGUUGUCCGGAAUCACUGGGCGUAAAGGGCGCGUAGGUGGCCUGAUAAGUAGGGGGUGAAAUCUCGAGGCUCAACUUCGAGGCUGCCUUCUAAACUGUCGGGCUUGAGCAGAGUAGAGGCAGGUGGAAUUCCCGGUGUAGCGGUGGAAUGCGUAGAGAUCGGGAAGAACAUCGGUGGCGAAGGCGGCCUGCUGGGCUCUUGCUGACACUGAGGCGCGACAGCGUGGGGAGCAAACGGG